rnacentral:rRNA from 1 species
UACGGGGGGGGCAAGCGUUGUUCGGAAUUACUGGGCGUAAAGGGCUUGUAGGCGGCCAACUAAGUCCGACGUGAAAUCCCCAGGCUUAACCUGGGAACUGCGUCGGAUACUGGAUGGCUUGAAUUCGGGAGAGGGAUGCAGAAUUCCAGGUGUAGCGGUGAAAUGCGUAGAUAUCUGGAGGAAUACCGGUGGCGAAGGCGGCAGCCUGGACCGACAUUGACGCUGAGGAGCGAAAGCUAGGGGAGCAAACGGG